rnacentral:rRNA from 1 species
ACUCCUACGGGAGGCAGCAGUGGGGAAUCUUGGACAAUGGGGGCAACCCUGAUCCAGCCAUGCCGCGUGAGUGAUGAAGGCCUUAGGGUCGUAAAGCUCUUUCGCCUGUGAUGAUAAUGACAGUAGCAGGUAAAGAAACCCCGGCUAACUCCGUGCCAGCAGCCGCGGUAAUACGGAGGGGGUUAGCGUUGUUCGGAAUUACUGGGGCGUAAAGCGCGCGUAGGCGGAUUAGUCAGUUAGAGGUGAAAUCCCAGGGGCUCAACCCUGGAACUGCCUUUAAUACUGCUAGUCUUGAGUUCGAGAGAGGUGAGUGGAAUUCCGAGUGUAGAGGUGGAAAUUCGUAGAUAUUCGGAGGAACACCAGUGGCGGAAGGCGGCGUCACUGGCUCGAUACU